GACGGGGCCCGCACAAGCGGUGGAGCAUGUUGGUUAAUUCGAUGAUACGCGAGGAACCUUACCUGGGCUCAAAUGUAUGUUGACGUAUUCUGAAAGGGAUACUUCUUCGGACAAUAUACAAGGUGCUGCAUGGUUGUCGUCAGCUCGUGCCGUGAGGUGUCGGGUUAAGUCCCAUAACGAGCGCAACCCCAUCAUAGUUGCCAUCAGGUCAAGCUGGGGACUCUAAUGAAACUGCCUACGCAAGUAGUGAGGAAGGUGGGGAUGACGUCAAGUCAUCAUGGCCCUUACGGCCUGGGCUACACACGUGCUACAAUGGUCGGUACAAAGGGUUGCCAAGCCGCGAGGUGGAGCUAAUCCCAUAAAACCGAUCGUAGUCCGGAUCGCAGUCUGCAACUCGACUGCGUGAAGUCGGAAUCGCUAGUAAUCGUGAAUCAGAAUGUCACGGUGAAUACGUUCCCGGGCCUU
rnacentral:rRNA from 1 species